UUCCAGACUCCUACGGGAGGCAGCAGUGGGGGAUAUUGCACAAUGGGGGGAACCCUGAUGCAGCGACGCCGCGUGGGUGAAGGAGCGUUUCGGCGCGUAAAGCCCUAUCGGCAGGGAAGAAGGAGGACGGUACCUGACUAAGAAGCCCCGGCUAACUACGUGCCAGCAGCCGCGGUAAUACGUAGGGGGCAAGCGUUAUCCGGAUUUACUGGGUGUAAAGGGAGCGUAGACGGCAAUGCAAGUCUGGAGUGAAAGGCGGGGGCCCAACCCCCGGACUGCUCUGGAAACUGUAUAGCUGGAGUGCAGGAGAGGUAAGUGGAAUUCCUAGUGUAGCGGUGAAAUGCGUAGAUAUUAGGAGGAACACCAGUGGCGAAGGCGGCGUACUGGACUGUAACUGACGUUGAGGCUCGAAAGCGUGGGGAGCAAACAGGAUUAGAUACCCCUGUACGG
rnacentral:rRNA from 1 species